rnacentral:rRNA from 1 species
GGAUUAGAUACCCUGGUAGUCCACGCCGUAAACGAUGUCUACUAGCCGUUGGGAAACUUGAUUUCUUAGUGGCGCAGCUAACGCGAUAAGUAGACCGCCUGGGGAGUACGGUCGCAAGAUUAAAACUCAAAUGAAUUGACGGGGGCCCGCACAAGCGGUGGAGCAUGUGGUUUAAUUCGAUGCAACGCGAAGAACCUUACCAAGACUUGACAUCCUGCGAACUUUCUAGAGAUAGAUUGGUGCCUUCGGGAACGCAGAGACAGGUGCUGCAUGGCUGUCGUCAGCUCGUGCCG